CUUUGAUGAAGUUUUCGGAUGGAUUUAAAACAGCUUAGUGGCGGACGGGUGAGUAACGCGUGGGUAACCUGCCUCACACUGGGGGAUAACAGUUGGAAACGACUGCUAAUACCGCAUAAGCGCACAGCUUCGCAUGAAGCAGUGUGAAAAACUCCGGUGGUACAAGAUGGACCCGCGUCUGAUUAGCCAGUUGGCGGGGUAACGGCCCACCAAAGCGACGAUCAGUAGCCGGCCUGAGAGGGUGAACGGCCACAUUGGGACUGAGACACGGCCCAAACUCC
rnacentral:rRNA from 1 species